rnacentral:rRNA from 1 species
UGGGGAAUAUUGCACAAUGGGGGGAAACCCUGAUGCAGCGACGCCGCGUGAACGAAGAAGUAUUUCGGUAUGUAAAGUUCUAUCAGCAGGGAAGAUAAUGACGGUACCUGACUAAGAAGCUCCGGCUAACUACGUGCCAGCAGCCGCGGUAAUACGUAGGGAGCAAGCGUUAUCCGGAUUUACUGGGUGUAAGGGGCGCGUAGGCGGGAUGGCAAGUCAGAUGUGAAAUCCAUGGGCUCAACCCAUGAACUGCAUUUGAAACUGUUAUUCUUGAGUACUGGAGAGGUUGACGGAAUUCCUAGUGUAGCGGUGAAAUGCGUAGAUAUUAGGAGGAACACCAGUGGCGAAGGCGGUCAACUGGACAGCAACUGACGCUGAGGCGCGAAAGCGUGGGGAGCAAACAGGAUUAGAUACCCUGGUAGU